rnacentral:rRNA from 1 species
UUAAAACCCACACUUCUAUANUAAAAUAACAUGUAUCAUGAUAAAAAAUUAAAGAUCACUUUCAACAACGGAUCUCUUGGCUCUCGCAUCGAUGAAGAACGUAGCGAAGUGCGAUAAGUAGUGUGAAUUGCAGAAUUCCGUGAAUCAUCGAAUCUUUGAACGCAAAUUGCACUCCCUGGUAUUCCGGGGAGUAUGCCUGUUUGAGGGUCAGUUUAAAUAAAAAUCGGUGUGUUGCUUUUUGUAACGCCUCGGAUUUGGGUUAUCUUAGCCUUUGGGUUAAGAGACCUAAAAUUGACUUUUUUUGUGCAUUUUUAUAGACGUACAUAAGAUAUUUUUUUAUUCGUCUUGGAAUGCCAAAUUUAUUAGGUAUGAUCAUGUUGUGUGAUUUCGUACCUAUAGGUUUCAUCAUCUGACCUCAAAUCAGGUAGGGACACCCGCUGAACUUAAGCAUAUCAAUAAGCGGAGGAAAAGAAAAUAACAAUGAUUCCCCUAGUAACUGCGAGUGAAGAGGGACAAGCUCAAAUUUUAAAUCUGUUAGGUAUCACCUGGCCGAGUUGUAAUUUGAAGAAGCGUUUUCUGCGCUCUUGAUCAGCCCAAGUCCUAUUGAAUGAGGCAUCAUGGAGGGUGAUAAUCCCGUCCGGUUGAUCAAUGCGUUUUACGAUACGCUUUCAAAGAGUCAAGUUGUUUGGGAUUGCAGCUUAAAAUGGGAGGUAAAUUUCUCCUAAGGCUGAAUAUUGGCGAGAGACCGAUAGCGAACAAGUACCGUGAGGGAAAGAUGAAAAGAACUU